ensembl:lncRNA
AAAGUGGGACCCAGUGUCACAGUGAUGCUUUUCUCCAGACUGAUCAAGCUGUUUGGAUGCAGACAUAUAGCUGGUGGAGGGCUGGAUUCUGCAGAGACCCUCUACUGUGCCACUGAGCUCUCAAAUACCCGCCACCUGAUGUGAAGAGCUGAGUCUUUGGAAAAGACCCUGAUUCUGGGAAAGAUUGAAGGCAAGAGGAAAAGGGGGCGACAUAAGAUGAGAUGGUUGGAUGGCGUCAUCAAGUCAGUGGACGUGAGUUUGCGUAAACUCUGGGAGAUGGUGAAGGACAGAGAGGCCUGGCAUGCUGCAGAUCAUGGGUCCACAAAGAGUCAGACAUGAUUUAGCAACUGAACAACUUUGUCAAUAUUUUAUUUCAACUGGAAGUCUUUAGGUGAGUUCCUAUCACCCUUGCUUGAACAAAAACUUUUUAAUGUAAUAAAAAACAACAAAUUUAUCCC